rnacentral:tRNA from 1 species
GGUAAUAGCUUAGUGGUAGAGCGCAUGCUUAGCAUGAUGAGGUCCUGGGUUCAAUCCCCAGCACUUCCA